rnacentral:rRNA from 1 species
UGGGGAAUAUUGCACAAUGGGGGAAACCCUGAUGCAGCGACGCCGCGUGAGCGAAGAAGGCUUUCGAGUCGUAAAGCUCUGUCCUAUGAGAAGAUAAUGACGGUAUCAUAGGAGGAAGCCCUGGCUAAAUACGUGCCAGCAGCCGCGGUAAUACGUAUGGGGCGAGCGUUGUCCGGAAUUAUUGGGCGUAAAGGGUACGUAGGCGGUUUUUUAAGUCAGGUGUCAAAGCGUGGAGCUUAACUCCAUUAAGCACUUGAAACUGAAAGACUUGAGGGAAGGAGAGGAAAGUGGAAUUCCUAGUGUAGCGGUGAAAUGCGUAGAUAUUAGGAGGAAUACCGGUGGCGAAGGCGACUUUCUGGACGAACACUGACGCUGAGGCGCGAAAGCCAGGGGAGCGAACGGG